rnacentral:piRNA from 1 species
UGAAACCAGUUCAAGACUCUGAAAGUGGGAGC